GAGGGUAUAGCUCAGUGGUAGAGCACGUGCUUAGCAUGCACGAGGUCCUGGGAUCAAUCUCUAGUACCUUCA
rnacentral:tRNA from 1 species